AUUGAACGCUGGCGGCAUGCUUUACACAUGCAAGUCGGACGGCAGCACAGAGAAGCUUGCUUCUUGGGUGGCGAGUGGCGAACGGGUGAGUAACAUAUCGGAACGUACCGAGCAGUGGGGGAUAACUAAUCGAAAGAUUAGCUAAUACCGCAUAUCUUCUGAUGAAGAAAGCAGGGGACCAUUUGGCCUUGCGCUGUUUGAGCGGCCGAUAUCUGAUUAGCUAGUUGGUGGGGUAAAGGCCUACCAAGGCGACGAUCAGUAGCGGGUCUGAGAGGAUGAUCCGCCACACUGGGACUGAGACACGGCCCAGACUCCUACGGGAGGCAGCAGUGGGGAAUGUUGGACAAUGGGCGCAAGCCUGAUCCAGCCAUGCCGCGUGUCUGAAGAAGGCCUUCGGGUUGUAAAGGACUUUUGUCAGGGAAGAAAAGGGCGGGGUUAAUACCCCUGUCUGAUGACGGUACCUGAAGAAUAAGCACCGGCUAACUACGUG
rnacentral:rRNA from 1 species